rnacentral:rRNA from 1 species
UACAGAGGUCCCAAGCGUUGUUCGGAUUCACUGGGCGUAAAGGGCGCGUAGGCGGUUCGCUAAGUUGGAUGUGAAAACUCUGGGCUCAACCCAGAGCCUGCAUCCAAAACUGGCGGGCUAGAGUUCUGGAGGGGGUAGCGGAAUUCCUGGUGUAGCGGUGAAAUGCGUAGAUAUCAGGAGGAACACCGGUGGCGAAGGCGGCUACCUGGACAGAAACUGACGCUGAGGCGCGAAAGCUAGGGGAGCAAACAGG